GCCGGGCACGGUGAGGCAUGCCUGUAAUCCCAGCGACUCGGGAGGCUGAGACAGGAGGAUAGCAAGUGCAAGCCAGCCUCCGAAAUGGUGAGGUGCUAAGCAACUCAGUGAGACCCUGUCUCUA
rnacentral:sRNA from 1 species